GACGAACGCUGGCGGCGUGCUUAACACAUGCAAGUCGUACGGUAAGGCCCUUUCGGGGGUACACGAGUGGCGAACGGGUGCGUAACACGUGAGUAACCUGCCCACAACUUUGGGAUAACGCUAGGAAACUGGUGCUAAUACUGGAUAUGUGCUCCUGCUGCAUGGGGGGGGUUGGAAAGCUCCGGCGGUUGUGGAUGGACUCGCGGCCUAUCAGCUUGUUGGUGGGGUAGUGGCCUACCAAGGCGGCGACGGGUAGCCGGCCUGUGGGGGUGACCGGCUACAUUGGGACUGAGAUACGGCCCAGACUCCUACGGGAGGCAGCAGUGGGGAAUCUUGCACAAUGGGCGCAAGCCUGAUGCAGCACCGCCGCGUGCGGGAUGACGGCCUUCGGGUUGUAAACCGCUUUCAGCAGGGACGAAGCUUUUUGUGACGGUACCUGCAGAAGAAGCACCGGCUAACUACGUG
rnacentral:rRNA from 1 species